UAAGGAAUAUUGGUCAAUGGGGGCAACCCUGAACCAGCCAUGCCGCGUGCAGGAUGACUGCCCUAUGGGUUGUAAACUGCUUUUGUUAGGGAAUAAACCCCACUACGUGUAGUGGGCUGAAUGUACCUAAAGAAUAAGGAUCGGCUAACUCCGUGCCAGCAGCCGCGGUAAUACGGAGGAUCCGAGCGUUAUCCGGAUUUAUUGGGUUUAAAGGGUGCGUAGGCGGCACUUUAAGUCAGGGGUGAAAGACGGCAGCUCAACUGUCGCAGUGCCCUUGAUACUGAAGUGCUUGAAUGCGGUUGAAGACGGCGGAAUGAGACAAGUAGCGGUGAAAUGCAUAGAUAUGUCUCAGAACACCGAUUGCGAAGGCAGCUGUCUAAGCCGUUAUUGACGCUGAUGCACGAAAGCGUGGGGAUCGAACA
rnacentral:rRNA from 2 species